UCUGCAUAAAGUUCCAAGCAAUCUUUUAAGCAAUCAAUAGCAAAAGGAUCAAACUCUUUGCUACUGAGCAUGUUCUCUAUGGUCGAUAUCGUGUUAGUAGCAUUUGCUAGAGCCAGCUCCAUUGCUACAAUUCCUACUCCUUGUAAGUUGGUAACAUGAGUUACAGGAAUUGCUUGGAGUGAAGUGACACAGAAGUAGCAGUUUAUGUCUGUCGACUUAUCGGAGCAUUCUUUGCAGGUUGAGUUGAUCAAGUGUAACAAUGGUGGGGAAAUCAGGUAACAAUGUGUAGGAAUUAUUGUUGAUAGUAAGAGUAAGCAGCAAAGUGAGAGGGAAGAGAGAGCAAUGCCAC
rnacentral:lncRNA from 1 species